CGGGCAUAGCAAUAUGUCAGCGGCAGACGGGUGAGUAACGCGUGGGAACGUACCUUUUGGUUCGGAACAACUGAGGGAAACUUCAGCUAAUACCGGAUAAGCCCUUACGGGGAAAGAUUUAUCGCCGAAAGAUCGGCCCGCGUCUGAUUAGCUAGUUGGUGAGGUAAUGGCUCACCAAGGCGACGAUCAGUAGCUGGUCUGAGAGGAUGAUCAGCCACAUUGGGACUGAGACACGGCCCAAACUCCUACGGGAGGCAGCAGUGGGGAAUAUUGGACAAUGGGCGCAAGCCUGAUCCAGCCAUGCCGCGUGAGUGAUGAAGGCCCUAGGGUUGUAAAGCUCUUUUGUGCGGGAAGAUAAUGACGGUACCGCAAGAAUAAGCCCCGGCUAACUUCGUGCCAGCAGCCGCGGUAAUACGAAGGGGGCUAGCGUUGCUCGGAAUCACUGGGCGUAAAGGGUGCGUAGGCGGGUCUUUAAGUCAGGGGUGAAAUCCUGGAGCUCAACUCCAGAACUGCCUUUGAUACUGAAGAUCUUGAGUUCGGGAGAGGUGAGUGGAACUGCGAGUGUAGAGGUGAAAU
rnacentral:rRNA from 1 species